GUAGUCGGAUUCGCAUCAAUCCACAUGUAUUGAGGUGGGUUGGAGUGGAACUUGAACUAAAUUCCACACCAAUCCAUUCCAAUACAUGUGGAUUAAAGUGAAUCCGACA
rfam:Sorghum bicolor cultivar BTx623 chromosome 4, whole genome shotgun sequence.